rnacentral:rRNA from 1 species
UACGUAGGUGGCAAGCGUUGUCCGGAAUUACUGGGUGUAAAGGGAGCGCAGGCGGGGGGUCAAGUUGGAUGUGAAAUACCGCAGCUCAACUGCGGGGCUGCAUCCAAAACUGAUCUUCUUGAGUGAGGUAGAGGCAGGCGGAAUUCCUGGUGUAGCGGUGAAAUGCGUAGAUAUCAGGAGGAACACCAGUGGCGAAGGCGGCCUGCUGGGCCUUAACUGACGCUGAGGCUCGAAAGCGUGGGGAGCAAACAGG